rnacentral:rRNA from 1 species
GACGAACGCUGGCGGCGUGCUUAACACAUGCAAGUCGAGCGACGCUCUUCCUUCGGGGAGAUGACGGAGCGGCGAACGGGUGAGUAACACGUGGGCAACCUGCCCCUCGCUCUGGGACAACACCGGGAAACCGGUGCUAAUACCGGAUACGACAUCGAGCGGCAUCUCUCGAUGUGGAAAGUUUUUUCGGCUAGGGAUGGGCCCGCGGCCUAUCAGCUUGUUGGUAGGGUAAUGGCCCACCAAGGCGACGACGGGUAGCCGGCCUGAGAGGGCGACCGGCCACACUGGGACUGAGACACGGCCCAGACUCCUACGGGAGGCAGCAGUGGGGAAUAUUGCGCAAUGGGCGAAAGCCUGACGCAGCGACGCCGCGUGAGGGAUGACGGCCUUCGGGUUGUAAACCUCUUUCAGCAGGGACGAAUUCAGACGGUACCUGCAGAAGAAGCACCGGCAAACUACGU